ensembl:rRNA 5S_rRNA 5S ribosomal RNA
CAACACCAACAGCAUUCCACCCUGCAUCCCACUGCUGCCUUGCUUCUGAAACUAAGCAGGGUUGGUCCUGGUUGGUCCCUGGAUGGGAUACCAGAUGCUGCUGGAAGUGGUGUUGG